rnacentral:lncRNA from 1 species
GCCAUCCUCUGACACCAUUAAGCUCUCAGCAGGUAGUAAGUCUGAAUUCUCUGCUGGUGUAAAUGAGCAGAGCUGCUUGAGCCCAUAGAUCUUUUCAAUGACUGGAUGGAACACAGAAGGAGAACCUUUGUCAAAGAUCAAUUAUUUCUUAAUCCAAAAUUUCAAGUAGUAAGUUCUGUUUGACAUUUGCACUGGUAAUGGUAUGGCUCCUGAGAUCAUGACUACUUGUAUA